rnacentral:lncRNA from 1 species
GAGCUGUGGGGUGAAUCUGGAGGGUUGGGUGAGCCUCAGCAAUGCAUACUGGGUGUGGUGCUGAACCCCGGGAGUCCUGAACUAAACAGAAUAUACACUGCCCUUCAAAGCCUGGAGGUCCAGGGGAGGAGAGGAAAGACUGGAAACCAGGGACCUGUGCCAGUGCCAGCCAAGGACCUGUGCCAGUGCCAGCCAAGGACCUGUGCCAGUGCCAGCCAAGGACCUGUGCCAGUGCCAGCCAAGGACCUGUGCCAGUGCCAGCCAAGGACCUGUGCCAGUGCCAGCCAAGGACCUGUGCCAGUGCCAGCCAAGGACCUGUGCCAGUGCCAGCCAAGGACCUGUGCCAGUGCCAGCCAAGGACCUGUGCCAGUGCCAGCCAAGGACCUGUGCCAGUGCCAGCCAAGGACCUGUGCCAGUGCCAGCCAAGGACCUGUGCCAGUGCCAGCCAAGGACCUGUGCCAGUGCCAGCCAAGGACCUGUGCCAGUGCCAGCCAAGGACCUGUGCCAGUGCCAGCCAAGGACCUGUGCCAGUGCCAGCCAAGGACCUGUGCCAGUGCCAGCCAAGGACCUGUGCCAGUGCCAGCCAAGGACCUGUGCCAGUGCCAGCCAAGGACCUGUGCCAGUGCCAGCCAAGGACCUGUGCCAGUGCCAGCCAAGGACCUGUGCCAGUGCCAGCGGUGUUUGGCGCCAUCUGUGACUUGAGUUCCCUUGCUUAACUUUCUACAGCAAAGUAUUCGGGAAAUUCAAGGAAAAAAAGUGUAUGCAUAUAUACACAUAUAAAAUAUUGUAUUUUAAUAUCUAAUAUAAAUGAUACUUAUAACUUAUUUUAAUUUUCUUUAAAGUAUUUUAAAGAUAAAUACAUAUUAAUAAAUUAAAAUCUACACAAAUAUAAAACAA